ensembl:miRNA
GAGCGUCAUGUUGACACUCAAAAAGUUUCAGAUUUUGGAACAUUUCGGAUUUUGGAUUUUUGGAUCAGGGAUGCUCAA